GGAUAACCUGCCCUUGGGUCCGGCAUAACCCCGGGAAACUGGGGAUAAUUCCGGAUAACGCACAUAUGCUGGAAUGCUUUAUGCGUAAAAUGGAUUCGUCUGCCCAAGGAUGGGUCUGCGGCCUAUCAGGUAGUAGUGGGUGUAAUGUACCUACUAGCCAACAACGGGUACGGGUUGUGAGAGCAAGAGCCCGGAGAUGGAUUCUGAGACAUGAAUCCAGGCCCUACGGGGCGCAGCAGGCGCGAAAACUUUACAAUGCGGGAAACCGUGAUAAGGGGACACCGAGUGCCAGCAUCAUAUGCUGGCUGUCCAGGUGUGUAAAAUACACCUGUCAGCAAGGGCCGGGCAAGACCGGUGCCAGCCGCCGCGGUAACACCGGCGGCCCGAGUGGUGAUCGUGAUUAUUGGGUCUAAAGGGUCCGUAGCCGGUUUGGUCAGUCCUCCGGGAAAUCUGACGGCUCAACCGUUAGGCUUUCGGGGGAUGCUGCCAGGCUUGGAACCGGGAGAGGUAAGAGGUACUACAGGGGUAGGAGUGAAAUCUUGUAAUCCCUGUGAGACCACCUGUGGCGAAGGCGUCUUACCAGAACGGGUUCGACGGUGAGGGACGAAAGCUGGGGGCACGAACCGGAUUAGAUACCCGGGUAGUCCCAGCCGUAAACGAUGCUCGCUAGGUGUCAGGCAUGGCGCGACCGUGUCUGGUGCCGCAGGGAAGCCGUGAAGCGAGCCACCUGGGAAGUACGGCCGCAAGGCUGAAACUUAA
rnacentral:rRNA from 1 species